UCACCCCUCAAGCCCCCCUUCUUAACUGAAACUGGCUUGGUGUUGGACGGUCUGGUGUCGGCAACGUCACCCCUCCCAAAGACAAUGACGGCGGCUUCGUGAGACCCCCGGUACACUGAGUUCCUCACCGAACACGUACUGGAUCACGGGUAGACGGGGCCCCGGUCGACCCUCCCCCAGGGGAGAAUCUUUCUCA
rnacentral:misc_RNA from 1 species